AUUGAACGCUGGCGGCAGGCCUAACACAUGCAAGUCGAGCGGAGCGGAGGACGGGUGAGUAAUGCCUAGGAAUCUGCCUGGUAGUGGGGGAUAACGUCCGGAAACGGGCGCUAAUACCGCAUACUAUCAGAUGAGCCUAAGUCGGAUUAGCUAGUUGGUGGGGUAAAGGCCUACCAAGGCGAGGAUCCGUGACUGGUCGGAGAGGAUGAUCAGUCAGCCUGAGACUGAGACACGGUCCAGAGUGCGACGGGAGGCAGCAGUGGGGAAUAUGGGACAAUGGGCGAAAGCUGUAGCAAGCCAGGCCGCGUGUGUGAAGAAGGUCUUCGGAGUGUAAAGCACUUUAAGUUGGGAGGCGGUACCAACAGAAUAAGUACCGGCUAACUUCGUGCCAGCAGCCGCGGUAAUUC
rnacentral:rRNA from 1 species